rnacentral:rRNA from 1 species
GAUGAACGCUGGCGGCGUGCCUAAUACAUGCAAGUCGAGCGAACGGACGAGAAGCUUGCUUCUCUGAUGUUAGCGGCGGACGGGUGAGUAACACGUGGAUAACCUACCUAUAAGACUGGGAUAACUUCGGGAAACCGGAGCUAAUACCGGAUGAUAUUUUGAACCGCAUGGUUCAAAAGUGAAAGACGGUCUUGCUGUCACUGAUAGAUGGAUCCGCGCUGCAUUAGCUAGUUGGUAAGGUAACGGCGUACCAAGGCAACGAUGCAUAGCCGACCUGAGAGGGUGAUGGGCCACACUGGAACUGAGACACGGUCCAGACUCCUACGGGAGGCAGCAGUAGGGAAUCUUCCGCAAUGGGCGAAAGCCUGACGGAGCAACGCCGCGUGAGUGAUGAAGGUCUUCGGAUCGUAAAACUCUGUUAUUAGGGAAGAACAUAUGUGUAAGUAACUGUGCACAUCUUGACGGUAGCUAAUCAGAAAGCCACGGCUAACUACGUG